rnacentral:rRNA from 1 species
AACGAACGCUGGCGGCAUGCCUAACACAUGCAAGUCGAACGAGACCUUCGGGUCUAGUGGCGCACGGGUGCGUAACGCGUGGGAACCUGCCCUUAGGUUCGGAAUAACUCCCCGACAGGGGUGCUAAUACCGGAUAAUGUCUUCGGACCAAAGAUUUAUCGCCUUUGGAUGGGCCCGCGUUGGAUUAGCUAGUUGGUAGGGUAAAAGCCUACCAAGGCGACGAUCCAUAGCUGGUCUGAGAGGAUGAUCAGCCACACUGGGACUGAGACACGGCCCAGACUCCUACGGGAGGCAGCAGUGGGGAAUAUUGGACAAUGGGCGAAAGCCUGAUCCAGCAAUGCCGCGUGAGUGACGAAGGCCUUAGGGUUGUAAAGCUCUUUUACCCGGGAUGAUAAUGACAGUACCGGGAGAAUAAGCUCCGGCUAACUCCGUG